rnacentral:misc_RNA from 1 species
AACGCACCUUGCGCCCUUUGGUAUUCCGAUGGGCAUGUCUGUUUGAGUGUCGUGAAACUCUCAACCCCCCCGUUUUGUAAUGAGACGGGCGUUUGGGCUUGGAUAUGGCUGCUGCCGGACCCUCACGGGAUCGACUCGGCUGAAAUACACGAGCGCAUCCAGCUUUUGAACAGCAGCGGCUUGACUCGGCGUAAUAAUACUAUUCGCUGAGGACGUUGCAUUCAGUUUCAAAACCGUGAGCGCUGAUAGUGCGACGUUUGUCAUUUAAGCUUUAGACCUCAAAUCAGAUAGGACUACCCGCUGAACUUAA